rnacentral:rRNA from 1 species
UACGUAGGGAGCAAGCGUUGUCCGGAAUCAUUGGGCGUAAAGCGCGCGUAGGUGGCCACAUAAGUCCGUUGUGAAAGUCAAAGGCUCAACCUUUGAAAGCCGAUGGAUACUGUGUGGCUAGGGUACGGAAGAGGCGAGUGGAAUUCCUGGUGUAGCGGUGGAAUGCGCAGAUAUCAGGAGGAACACCAAUAGCGAAGGCAGCUCGCUGGGACGUUACUGACACUGAGGCGCGAAAGCGUGGGGAGCGAACAGG